rnacentral:rRNA from 1 species
CCCUUAGAUGUUCUGGGCCGCACGCGCGCUACACUGGUGCAUUCAACGAGCCUAGCCUUGACCGAGAGGUCCGGGUAAUCUUUGAAACUGCAUCGUGAUGGGGCUAGAUUAUUGCAAUUAUUAAUCUUCAACGAGGAAUGCCUAGUAAGCGUGAUUCAUCAAAUCGCGUUGAUUACGUCCCUGCCCUUUGUACACACCGCCCGUCGCUCCUACCGAUUGAGUGUGUUGGUGAGGAGUUUGGAUUGGCCUCGGAAGGUGGUUCGCCACCGUCCGUAGCUGAGAAGUUCUCCAAACCGCCCCACUUAGAGGAAGGAGAAGUCGUAACA